rnacentral:rRNA from 1 species
GAUGAACGCUGGCGGCGUGCUUAACACAUGCAAGUCGAACGGCAACGCACUUGCUUGCUGGGGUACCCGAGUGGCGAUCGGGUGCGUAACAGGAGGGUGAUCUGAUCUGCACUUCGGGAUAAGAUUGGGAAACUGGGUCUAAUACCAGAUAGGAUGAUGGUUACGAUGCCAAUGAGGAAAGCUUCUGGGUGUGGGCUGAGCUGUCGGCCUAUCCGCGUGUUGGUGGAGUGCUGGGCUAACACGCCCUCGACGGGUAGCCGGCCUGAGAGGGUGGACGGUCACAUUGGGACUGAGAUACGGCCCAGCCUCCUACGGUAGACAGCAGUGGGGAAUAUUGCACAAUGGUCGCAAGCCUGAUGCAGCGGCGCCGCGUGUGGAAUGACGGCCUUCUGGGUAUAAACACCUUUCGCUAGAUACGAAGCUCAAGUGACGGUACCUGAAGAAUAAGCACCGGCUAACUACGUG